GACAAUGGGCGCAAGCCUGAUCCAGCCAUGCCGCGUGAGUGAAGAAGGCCUUCGGGUUGUAAAGCUCUUUUGUCNGGGAAGAAANGGUUNNGGCUAAUAUCCUNNNNUAAUGACGGUACCGGAAGAAUAAGCACCGGCUAACUNCGUGCCAGCAGCCGCGGUAAUACGUAGGGUGCAAGCGUUAAUCGGAAUUACUGGGCGUAAAGCGUGCGCAGGCGGUUUUGUAAGUUUGAUGUGAAAUCCCCGGGCUCAACCUGGGAACUGCAUUGAAGACUGCNGGGCUAGAAUCUGGNAGAGGGGGGUGGAAUUCCANGUGUAGCGGUGAAAUGCGUAGAGAUGUGGAGGAACACCGAUGGCGAAGGCAGCCCCCUGG
rnacentral:rRNA from 1 species